rnacentral:rRNA from 1 species
AACGAACGCUGGCGGCGUGCCUAACACAUGCAAGUCGAACGGGAAUUUCGGGGCAACUCGAAUAGUACCGUGGCGCACGGGUGAGUAACACGUAGGUAACCUCCCUUUUGUUGGGGAAUAACCCCGGGAAACCGGGGCUAAUACCGCAUACGUCUCUGUUGUGUACUUCACGAUAGAGGGAAAGGCGGCCUCUUCAUGAAAGCUGUCGACAGAAGAUGGGCCUGCGCACCAUUAGCUAGUUGGUAGGGUAACGGCCUACCAAGGCAACGAUGGUUAGCUGAUCUGAGAGGAUGAUCAGCCACACUGGAACUGAAACACGGUCCUGACUCCUACGGGAGGCAGCAGUGGGGAAUCCUGCGCAAUGGACGAAAGUCUGACGCAGCAACGCCGCGUGAGGGAUGAAGGCCUUCGGGUUGUAAACCUCUGUCGGGAGGAACGAAUUCCUAGCGAGAACAAUACCUCGCUAGAGUGACGGUACCUCCAAAGGAAGCACCGGCUAACUCCGUGCCAGCAGCCGCGGUAACAC